UACGUAGGGUCCGAGCGUUGUCCGGAAUUACUGGGCGUAAAGAGCUCGUAGGUGGUUUGUCGCGUUGUUCGUGAAAACUCACAGCUUAACUGUGGGCGUGCGGGCGAUACGGGGCAGACUGGAGUACUGCAGGGGAGACUGGAAUUCCUGGUGUAGCGGUGGAAUGCGCAGAUAUCAGGAGGAACACCGGUGGCGAAGGCGGGUCUCUGGGCAGUAACUGACGCUGGAGGAGCGAAAAGCGUGGGGGAGC
rnacentral:rRNA from 1 species